UCUUGGCAGUGUUGGGGAGUAACAGAUUACAUGUACCGGAGUUAUGUAAUCAGAGUACAAAUUAUGAGUAACUGUAUUCAGUUACAGUUACUGUUUGAAUGAGUGCUAAUUGGAUUACAGUUACUUUGUUGAAAUAAAUGGAUUACACGGCGGUAUUUUCCUGUUUUCACAUUUUGGGCGAUAUCCCUUUUUUUAACCAGUAAUUUCACUCAUUGCCGGACACUAAACCAGGUCUAAAACCAGGUCUAAAACAGGAUUUAACAGGACUAAAUCAUGCUGCAUGGACCGUGUUUCCUCCUCCUCUUCUAUCAAUAAUAUUUUUAAUUUGGUUAAGUAAAGUCUGGGCUUUUUAUUGUCUUUUAGCAGACAAAACAUCUUAUGUGAACAUUUUCUCGUCUUUGCUUCUCUACAGCAAAACAAGUAAUCCAAAGUAUUCAGGUUACAUUACUCACCUUAAGUAAUUUAAUGGAUUCUGUUACAAACUACAUUUUGGGAUAGGUAAUCUGUAAUCUGUAGGGGAAUACCUUUUAAAAGUAACCUUCCCAACACUGGUUCUUGGUAGCCUACUAAAAAUGUUGCUGAUAGGAGUGUGCAAAAAUAUCAAAAUAUCUAUAUAUCGUAUCAUUUAAUGUGAUCAGUAUUGAUAUCGUGGCCUGCUGUAUUGAUACAUCGCCAAGAGUAUUUUUUGGUAUAUUUUACAAAAUUAUUUUGUUACAGCACUACAGUUUUGUUGCUCAUUUCGAGGAAGGAAGCUCGUUUAUGCAACACAUUUCACAUUUUCACUGUUUUUGAUGAUUAAAAUGUUUGUGUUUCAUAUUAACUUUGCACAAGAAAUGGUUGAACAAAGACUUUUAGUAUCACAUCCAUGAUUUAGCCUUUAUUUUUUAUUGAACCGACAGUUGGUGGAGUGAACCCCACCACAACUGAUAAUGUACUGUUUACUGCGGUCGUGUUGAGUGCGUUGAGUGCUUAACGGGUUGUUUUCAGAUUCUAGAAUGAUGUGUCUCUUUUUGAAUGGAGGCAAGAGCCAGCGUGUUUUUUCCCAACCUCUGUUAUUACACUAUAAUUAUCCAGUUAGACUCUUUCCUUUUAUUAGUUUUUGAUAUUCAGUUAACUGGGUAUUUUUUAAGACGUGAUGACGGUAUCCCAAAUUAUUUAUUGUUUAUUUAAUAGGGAGAGAUAACAACAAAGUUAGAUUAACAUUAGGGCUGGGUAUCAGUAAGAAGUUGACGAUACGAUACAUACCUAAAUACAUAGACCACGAUAUGAUACAGAUCUCGAUACAGUGCACUUUCGAUUUGAUACGAUAUAUUUCAAAUCGAUUCGAUACAGUUCAAUAAAAAAUAAGGACUAAAUCAUGGGUGUGAUACUAAAAGUCUUUG